rnacentral:rRNA from 1 species
GACGAACGCUGGCGGCAGGCCUAACACAUGCAAGUCGAGCGCCCUCGCGAGGGGGAGCGGCGGACGGGUGAGUAACGCGUGGGAACGUGCCUCUUGCUUCGGAAUAGCCACGGGAAACUGGGGGUAAUACCGAAUGUGCCCUACGGGGGAAAGAUUUAUCGGCAAGAGAUCGGCCCGCGUUGGAUUAGGUAGUUGGUGGGGUAAUGGCCUACCAAGCCGACGAUCCAUAGCUGGUUUGAGAGGAUGAUCAGCCACACUGGGACUGAGACACGGCCCAGACUCCUACGGGAGGCAGCAGUGGGAAUCUUAGACAAUGGGCGCAAGCUUGAUCUAGCCAUGCCGCGUGAGCGAUGAAGGCCUUAGGGUUGUAAAGCUCUUUCGUGGGGGAAGAUAAUGACUGUACCCCAAGAAGAAGCCCCGGCUAACUCCGUGCCAGCCGCCGCCGUAA